rnacentral:rRNA from 1 species
ACUCCUACGGGAGGCAGCAGUGGGGAAUAUUGCACAAUGGACGGAAGUCUGAUGCAGCGACGCCGCGUGAGGGAUGAAGGCCUUCGGGUUGUAAACCUUUUUCGCUUUUGACCAAGGCAGCAUUUUGGUGUUGUUGAGGGUAUGAGGUAAAGAAGCUCCGGCUAACUACGUGCCAGCAGCCGCGGUAAUAC